CCUACGGGGGGCUGCAGUGGGGAAUUUUGGACAAUGGGCGAAAGCCUGAUCCAGCCAUGCCGCGUGUCUGAAGAAGGCCUUCGGGUUGUAAAGGACUUUUGUCAGGGAGCAAAACUUACUGGUUAAUACCCGGUGAGGCUGAGAGUACCUGAAGAAUAAGCACCGGCUAACUACGUGCCAGCAGCCGCGGUAAUACGUAGGGUGCAAGCGUUAAUCGGAAUUACUGGGCGUAAAGCGUGCGCAGGCGGACUUUUAAGCCAGAUGUGAAAGCCCCG
rnacentral:rRNA from 1 species